rnacentral:rRNA from 1 species
GACGAACGCUGGCUGCACGCUUAACUCAUGCAAUUUUCACCAGAACGCACUGGCUUCUUCCGGGGCAAGUACAGUUGUCCGACCGGCGCGUAUUCGCUUAAAUAACCUGCUCUCAGGCGCGGGACAAUCACAUGGAAACCGUGGCUAAUACCUCACGUCUUCUGGACCCUCCAUGGGGACCAAAUUAAAUCUUCGGGGUUUACCCUCGCGCCUUUGGAUGGGUUUCGCGUUGGAUUAUCUUGUUGGUGAGGCAACGGCUCACUCUCGCGACCAUUCUUACCUGGUCUGACACGACGAUCAGCCACACUGGGACUGAGACACUGCCCACCACUCCUACUGGAGGCAGCACUGGGGAAUCUUGCACAAUGGGGUCACCCCUGAUGCAGCCAUGCCGCGUGGAGGAAGACACCCCUAUGGGGCGUAAACUCCUUUUCUGAACAAAGAAACCCCUGUAGGUUCAGGGCUCGACCGUUGUUCACGAAUAAGCACCGGCUAACUCCCUGCCACCAUCCUCUGUAAUACGGACGGUGCUAGCGUUGUCCGGAAUCACUGGGUGUAAAGGGUGUGCUGGCCGGGCAGUCCGUCGGAUGUGAAGCCCCAUGGAUUAACCAUGGAGGUGCAUUCGAGACUGUAGCUCUUGAGUCCAGGAGAGGCUGUCGGAAUUCGUGGUGUAGCGGUGAAAUGCGUAGAUAUCACGAGGAACACCAGAGGCGAAAGCGGGCAGCUGGACGGGUACUGACGCUCAGGCACGAAAGCGUGGGGAGCAAACAGGAUUAGAUACCCUGGUAGUCCACGCCGUAAACGAUGAACGCUCGCCGUUGCCCCGCUCAAGGGGCAGUGGCUAAGUUAACGCGUUAAGCGUUCCACCUGGGGAGUACGAUCGCAAGGUUGAAACUCAAAGGAAUUGACGGGGGCCCGCACAAGCGGUGGAGCAUGUGGCUCAAUUCGAUGCAACGCGAAGAACCUUACAUAGGCUCGAACGCUAGAGGACCGCUCGUGAAAGGGAGCUUCCCCUUUGGGGCCUCUAGCGAGGUACUGCAUGGCUGUCGUCAGCUCGUGUCGUGAGAUGUUGGGUUAAGUCCCGCAACGAGCGUAACCCCUGUUGCUAGUUACCAUCGGGUAGUGCCGGGGACUCUAGCGAAACUGCCUGCGCAAGCAGUGAGGAAGGUGGGGAUGACGUCAAGUCAUCAUGGUCCUUACGCCUAGGGAUGCACACGUGCUACAAUGGCCGGUACAACGGGUAGCCACCUCGCGAGAGGGAGCGAAUCCCUGAAAACCGGUCCCAGUUCGGAUUGGAGUCUGCAACUCGACUCCAUGAAGCAGGAAUAGCUAGUAAUCGCGGAUCAGCAAUGCCGCGGUGAAUCCGUUCCCGGGCCUUGUACACACCGCCCGUCAAGCCAUGGAAGCUGAGAGCACCCGAAGUCCGUGACUCAACUCCGGCCUUGUGCCGGAGAGAGAGCGGCCGAAGGUGAGCUCAGGAACUGGGGCU